UAUGACCAACAGACGUCCCUUUCGGAGCGUCUGGCAGCAGAUGUGCAUCUUUGUAAGGCGUGAGGGAGCUCAGGGGCAUGGGCUUGGGGCGUUCAACUUAACAGAAUACUGUUCACUUAGAAGGCUGACACCAGCUCCUUGCUGAUCAGGAGAAGAUUCUGGAGUUCAAAUGGAAGCUUAUUUCCGCCAAACGUAUUGAGGAAGCAAUAGUUCGUUACAUGAAUUCCUGUUUGCAUUACAUGAAUUCCAGAAAAGCCUGAAGCAUUUAGUGCUCAUUCUUCAAGAAUGAUGUCAUCAGAUGGAAGAUCGAAUCGAAACCUCUACAUGCCAAGGAACAGGAGAAACCUUCAGAGAUUUGUUGGCGAGAUGGAGAAUUAUAAGGACAAAAUGCACUCUGUGGAGCCGGCCAAGCUUCGAACCUCUCAGCUUCUCUAACGGUGACUCCACUGUGAUCGCUGCCCUGCCUGAAAUGGUAUGCAAGCUCGUGUUCAUGUCGUGAAAUGCAUGCAGUGACUUAGCAUGAUGCAACCUUGGAUCUUCAUGUGAAUACCGAGCAGACAAAUGUCUUAAUUGUACCCUGAGAAUGGCCCUGAGUCCUGAAGAUGUUAUCUCCAAGAGGCUUUGUUAACUUGGAUGAAUUCAUAUUACCUUCCCCCAAGAGUAGAAAUUACAAUAAUAGCCAAGUCUAUGUAAAGAAAAUAAAAAUUUACAAUAUUGCAUGAAUCAUGAAAUGCUUCACCCACCAGGAACAAAUGGCACAUUUACUAAGAAUGUUCAGGAAGCCUUUUCAUCUCUCCAAUGUGUGGCCAAUACACCCAUAUUGGUUUUAUAUUCCUCUGGCAGACACACUGAAGUGAACAUUUAGAAUCAGUUACUGUAGUGGACAGGCAACGAACACUGUUUUGCAAUGUCUUCAUUUCUGAAAUCAUUGACUGGGAAACGAUGUUCUAAGUUAUUGGCAGGAGUGCUGAUCAAUAGACGUCCAAUUUAUUUGCUCAAGUCCAAUCAAUUCCUGAAAGAUGGGUCCUUGAAAGAUAAGAAAGCAGAUUAUUUCUUGUAGUAAUAAACAACAACAACAACAACAACAACAACAUUUGUAUGCUUGCCUUGGGCUACAGUUUUCAUGUUAUCUCAUGGAAUGCUUGCAAUGUAAAACUCACUAUUCUAAUUUUAUAAAUGAGGCUUAGCGGUCAAAUAACUUUUCCAGCCAACACAGAGGAGCACCCAGAUUUGAACUCCUCAACCCUUAAUGGCUGUUAUUUAGUGGCUUCUCAGCAGUUAAGCCAGCACACAUCCAUCAUUACUUGAGUGCCAAGCAGUGUGCCAAGCAUGCUAUGCAGCCACUGCACUUGGGAUGUGUGGAAUGACCCGUUGCAUGCCGAUAAGGCAUGCCAGAUCAACGCACGUCAAUAAGCCAGAGCAGUCACCACGCAGAGUGGAUGGUUUCUGAAGCCUGUUUUCUCCCAGAUGUGUAGACCAAUCCUCUGAGAAGGAAUCUUCUAACAGUGACAGGGCUCUAGGCUACCUCGGAACUUCUUCCUGGCCUCAAAUGUACGCAUUGGGAAACAGUCUUCAAAGAGCUUGUUUUCCAUCCCAAAGGCAUCUUCAGUGGGGCAGCUUGGGGUCUACAUCCGGGGAGGAUGGCAAAGCCAAGGUCAACCGCCUUCUUCUCAACUGCUUCACCUGCUGGACGCCCCAUCGUCAGGCUAAGAAGUAGGCACCACGUAGGGCUGAACCUUCCCUAGACAAGAAAUGACAACAACAGCAAAACCAGUUUCCCAACUGCAUGGCUGCAAUCUUUCCCUGGCGAUUUAAAUUAUAAAACACUUCGAUUACAAACUCCGAAGGAUGGCUUCAUCUUAGUCACCCCUCGAAAAAUCAGUCAAACUUAGAUAAUAACAGGAAAGUUGAAAGCAGAACGAUACAGACUUUUUCUAACACCUUUUCCCCACUCAAGUUAAAUGACAGUUUUGUUUACUUGGCUCAGGGAAAAUUCCAGUUGCAUUGUGAGCUUUUUAGAAGAAUGAGAAAUUGAUUUUCUCCCCAUACAGCAUGGAGCACACAAACUCUCAUAAUCUUUAUAUAAUCUUUACAAUGGUGUAUAAAGAAAGCCACCACUGCAUAUAAAGUCAUCGGGGCCUGGAAAGUCUGUGGUUUUCAACUGCUCAACCACAUCCUGGUAAACCCUACUGGCCUAUUACGGAAGAUAGUUCGCUCAUAUUCGGGGUCCUCUUGCACAAGAAGUCUCAAAAUCAAGUGUCCUGGGGUCAGGCAGGGUGUGUGAGGAAGCAGAACUCACUGGGUGUGCAGAGCAGAGAAAGAAAAACCCCCCUCUCCCCAUCUCUGUAGCUACAGCCAAUUCCAGUUGUGUGGGAAGGUGACUACAGUGGCUAUUAGAUCUGAAUUUUCUAUGAAAAGCCAGGAAUUCUUUUUUUAUAUUUAAGUGAAAUCACCUAAGUUUUAAAUAUCAGCAGGGCAUUAAAAAACGAAAAAGGCAACGCGCUGUGAAAGUGAAACACAACGAACCAGCAGGCUGCCCCUUGCUGGCAGGCUGGGGACCCUGGCUUGCUCCCUGAUCACGUGGGACCCAAACCCUUCCUUGAGCUGCAUCCUUGACAGGUUCAAGCAAUUUCCUUGCCUCAGCCUCCCAAGUAGCUGGGACUACAGGUGUGCACCAACACAUGCAGAUGGAUACAUUUGGAGCAUGACAAGCACUUGGCGUGUGUAGGGGAGAGUCGCAAGGCACUUGCUGUUCAGGACAGAAUGGAGCUCCAGCACCCACCACCCUCACGCAGCACCAAAGGGGCAGGGGCACUUGCUGCUUUUGCUCAUCUAGCCCAGUGCCAGGCAUGUCCAGGACUUCAGUGAAGAGUCAUUGCAUUCAGUGAAUAAUUUAAUUAAUGGGAGGAUGUACAAGAUGGCAAAUGACUCCUCCAGCUUCUCCCUCAUGAAUUUGCUCCUGGGCCAGCAGAAAGCAGCUGAAAAUAAAAGCAAAGCCUCUGGCCAUUCGCCAGGCCAGCUCAAAGCUGCUGCCGGUGGCGGUCAUCAAUGGGCAAUGACCUGGAACUCGGGCGGGCAGCUCCGACUCAUUCCACAGCAGCUCUUUGUUAUGUGUAUAACCCUUAGAAAGAGCAAGUGAUUUACUGUCAGUGUUUUAUCUAGCUGUGGGCUAAACAGUCUCAUAGCAUCCUUGGCUUGGUGAUUUGAGAAGAAGCGGGCUAUUUUUGUGACUGUUUUCUUAGCAUACAGUGAAGACAGAUCCAGCCAGUGGAUUUCACAAAGGACAAAGGACAGACUCGAGGAAGGUGGAGACAGAGGGGCACAGGAAAUUACAAUGAUGCCACUUCCACACUCAGUGGCAGUAAGCAACCUGUCCAUCGUUCCUGCAACACCUGUUUGCUUCCGUUAAAAGUUUUUGUUGUUUCAGAAAGUUCCAAGAAGCAGCUCAGCCCUGGAAAAACAAAACCUGGUCAGUCCAGAGGUGCCUGAGUUGGAGAUGAGCUUUGGGGAACUCUCCUCCUUACCACGCUAAACACCCGGCCCAGGGAGGAGCUUAUUUGCCUUUUUCUAUACAUGCAAUGUACGUAGAAGCAUGAUCAGCAACCACACCUGCACCGCCUUGACCCCGCCUCACAUGCAACGUCUCAGCUCACCAGCCUAGUAAAAGCCCUGUUGUCAGCUUUGUUCGGGAAGGCACUGCUUUAGGGUGGGGACUAUCCCUGGUGUCCUCUUUACUUGCUGCCAGUAGUAAAGUCCCCUUGUUAAAUCUUCCUUGCUUGAGGCUACUGGACUGUCAUCUGCCAAGCAAUAGAACCCACCUAUUGUACAGGUAACACUCCCAAUGUCCCAGAUGGGACGAACACUGCGGAUUUGUACUGCAACAUUGGCUCUUGCCUGGUCUUGAGACUUCUGACUAGAACUUCAUCAUCGGCUUUCCUGGGACCCCAGCUUACCAGCUCCCCCUGCAGAUCUCAGGACUUGUCAGCUUCCAUCAUGGCAUGAGCCAAUUCCCUACAAUCAAUCUCUCUACACACACAUCCUGUUGGUUCUGCUUCUGUGGAGGGCCCUGUCUGACGCAAGUUCCCAUGAUGAGAAUUCAAUGCAGUCAUUGCGAAGGCUUCACCCCCAUGUCAGGUGGUUGCUGCUAGGGUGUCAGAGGAGGUGUGCAAGGACAGAAGCCUGGGGAGCUGCCUUGGGGUUUGGUCUUUAUUGGUCCCUGGAAAUGUGCCCUUGUCCAGUCGGGCAUGGCUCCUGGAAGGGGGGCUCUGCAGCACCCACCCCAAGCCUGGGUGUGUGGAUCUUUGCUGGCACUGGGAGCCACCCUCUGGGCUGCAGCCUGCUACGGAGCAUCAUGGGUCAAGUCCAGUGUGGCUGUGAGGACAGUGCCCCUCAGCACCUGCAGCUGCCUCUCUUCCCCACAUGUUCUCAUCUUUCCUCUGGCCACCUCUUUGUCACCCCCUCUUGGGGUCCUCAGUGAACUGAUGCUGUCAUAGCAUCAGGCUGACAGGCCAUCUCCAGGCAGCCUCUCCGUUUGGUCCCGACAAGGCCUUCCAGGCAAGAACACACACGCACUCUCAGAGGGUGAAGGAAAGCACGAAAUCUUACUUCCCAACCAUGUCCUUUCACAAGGCCUCGGGAGUCCUGUGACGUCGCCAAGGGGAGGGAGGGUUCCCCAAGGAGCACGUUUAGAUGGAUGACUCGCCUCCAUUUUGUUGAAAGUUCUGAACUAAUGAUUACUUAUUUUAAAACUGCCUCAUUACUUCCAUCUUGACUUCAACUUGAAUUCAGCGGACAGGGAAAUGCCCAUUGGGAUUAGCUUAUUAAAAACAGGUGGGGAAGGUGGAGCGCCACCUUCACACAGGAGGUGCAAUCAAAGAAGAUUCCACCUUCUAUUUUAUAAACUUUAGUUUUUUCAUUAUGAGGACAUAUUAUUUCAUAAUGAAAAUUAAACACAGGCAAAAUGGCUUAUAAUUAGCAUAUAAUAAGAAUUUAUAGGGAAACGAAUGUCUGGAACCUGCUUGGAAGCUGCGUGUGCUCUUACACAUGGUGUGAUACCACAAAGCUAAUUCCUGUGUUUGUACAGGAAUUGUAUUUGCACCUAGGUGUGUCCACUGAAGCAAAAUUUUUUCAUAAAGAUUUUUAUUAAGCCAAAGCCCUGCAGGAGCACAAAUUCUGAAUUAGCAGAGUUCAAAUUGAUAAUAAUUUCCUACAAUUAAAGUGGUUUUCAACCAACCAAUCAUGAGGCAUUUACUGACUGUGUUCCGUGGGCAGCACCCCAGAGAAGGCACAAAUAGGCAGGAGGUGCUUGUGCUGAGUAAGCUGCGUGGUGGAGGUAAGAAGCACCAAGAGUGCACACGUGUAUUUUGCCUUAGGCUUCUAAUAUCCUGUUCUAUGUCUUUGCAGAAAAAACGCACGUUUCUGUCUUUUGAUUCAUAAUUCAUAUGCUUGGUACACCAGGUCUACUUAUGAUCACAAUCGUUAAUGUUUUCUCUUUGUAAGGGUUUGAGCAAAGUCAAUAUUUUACUGUUGACAGUUAGUGCUUACUCCACAUAAUUUGUAUAUUACUUUCCUUAGAAACUGAAAAGAAAAGAAAGAAGCCCCCCACCUCGAAAUAAAGUUUUAGGUUAUGAAGAUCACCACCACGUUGAACAUUCGGGACCCAUUUAUCUUACGAUUUUAAAGAAAUAUUGGAAGUAUUCACAGUGGCAAGAUAUCACUAGAGCAGUCUACAAGAUAAAUUAGAAACAAUGGUAUCUUGCUUUUGAUUUAUUACACAGAAAAUGCAAAUGCCUUCCGAUGAAUAUUACUCAAUGAGUGAAAAAUGCCAAGGAUGGUUGAUCAUGAUUAAUUUAGGCUAAAAAUUCUGUCCUGUUGCUCUACCACUAGACCAGUUGCUAGGAACUUUAGUCUGUGUGACAUCCUUCUCUUGGAGAAUGCUGGGAUUUUAUUCUCUUUCACUGGCCGAGAGGUGAGUGGAAGGAUGGUUCUUGUGCACCUGACUACAGACAGGAGUGCUGAGAUUUCUUGGCUGAACGGCUUUGUUAGACAAAUGAUUGCUAAGAUGGUGCAAACUGUAGUAACAUGUCAGGCACCCUCCCACAGUUCAAUGCUGGUUUCCUCUGUAUCCUGAAUUUGGCUAUAAUACUAUGCCCAGACACACUAGGCUUUCCCCAUGGCUGGACUGGCACCCCCUACAUCUGGAUGUAUCUGAUGUGAAGAUGACUCUGGAAUCUUCCUUGGAGGUGGCAGUUGCUCCAUCAGCCAGUUCUCAUGAAGUUGGCUGGAUAAGCCAACCAGAGCUGAUGCAUUUUGCACAAGAGUAAAGAUUAAAAAAAAAAAAAAAAAAAUAGGACUCUGGCUGCAUGUGGUGGCUCAUGCCUGUAAUACCAGCAUUUUGGGAGUCCGAGGCAAGUGGAUCACUUGAGGUCCAG